UUGGGUGUGUUGAUCCCUACUUCAGACAACAUCUACAAUGCAGACCCCAGCCAGCCCCGCCCACGGGAGCAUUAUCCCGUGUCCAAGACCACCGGCCGAUAUAAACAGUGUGCUGGAAAGGCAUCUGUGGCGGAGUGCGGCUGCACAAAUGCUCUCAAGGUCUCUCCCCUAGCCAUCAACUCUGACUGCAGGAAGAGGGUUCUGAGAAUGAUGUAUCCUCUGAUCAACUUCAACAUCACGCUGUUCCUCAGGCGUGCUAACCACCAAGACCAACCGCUGCGCUCUCUGUAUUUUGUCACAGUGACCGAGGUCAACAACCGCACCAGCUGGGCCAUCACAGGAACCCUCAUUACUCCUACAAUGGAGAAGAUGAGAAAGUACUUGAAGCGCAGUCUCAAUCAACCACUCUACAACCCUGAGGGCCUGCAGAUCAGUUGCUA
rnacentral:lncRNA from 1 species